rnacentral:piRNA from 1 species
UAGUGCCUGCGCAGUGGUGUUUAUAG